CAGCCGCCGCGGGAAUACGUAGGGGGCGAGCGUUGUCCGAAGUUACUGGGCGUAAAGCGCGCGUAGGCGGCUUCUUAAGUCUGAGGUGAAAGGUUCAACGCUUAACGUGAACAGUGCCUUGGAUACUGGGGAGCUUGAGUAUGGGAGAGGGCAGUGGAAUGGCUGGUGUAGCGGUGAAAUGCGUAGAUAUCAGUCGGAACACCCAUGGCGAAGGCAGCUGCCUGGCCUAAUACUGACGCUGAGGUGCGAAAGCGUGGGGAGCGAACGGGAUUAGAUACCCCUGUAGUCCCUGUCUCUUAUA
rnacentral:rRNA from 1 species